GUGUCAGCCGCCGCGGUAAGACAGAGGUGGCAAGCGUUGUUCGGAAUUACUGGGCUUAAAGGGCGCGUAGGCGGUGGAGUAAGUCUGAGGUGGAAGAUUAGGGCUUAACCCUAAAAUUGCCUUGGAAACUGCAUCACUUGAGUCAGCGAGGGGAUGGCGGAAUUCCAGGUGUAGCGGUGAAAUGCGUAGAUAUCUGGAGGAAGGCCGGUGGCGAAGGCGGCCAUCUGGCGCUGAACUGACGCUGAGGCGCGAAAGCGUGGGGAGCAAACAGGAUUAGAUACCCUGGUAGUCC
rnacentral:rRNA from 1 species